rnacentral:rRNA from 1 species
AUGUAUCCGCCGGGAAUAGGCCCUGAGCCCAUGAGCAAUUUCCUAGUCAACAACGCCGGGGAGCUGCUGGUCGUGCGCCUUCGGACGUCCGAGGGCAGCGGCGCGGUGCAGCUCUUCAGGGUUGACCUCGAGGGAAAAACUCUUCACGCGAUCACGAGCACCGGAAACCGUGCCGUCUUCCUCGGCAGACGGUGCCUCUCCGUCGACGCCGGCAAACUUCCCGGCAUCCAAGGCAACUGCAUCUACUACGUCGGCGGUGGGUGGGAGCCGGAGACGCGUGGGAUUUGCAUGUACCGCGUGGAGGACGGCAGCCAUGUGAAACUCUUCCAGCCCCCCUAUGACACCCCUCGUCGUCCCUACAUUUGUUUGGUUGCUGUGCUAAUGCCCCCUCCACAACGCCCAUUGAGCCUUCUGCAAGUUCUCAUGGACUACCCCAUGUAUGCGCCGGGGAAUGGCAGUGGCUGUCAAGAUUGGCAAUAUUAG